UACGGGGGGAGCAAGCGUUGUUCGGAUUUACUGGGCGUAAAGGGCGCGUAGGCGGUCAGCACAAGUCAGUUGUGAAAUCUCCGAGCUUAACUCGGAAAGGUCAACUGAUACUGUGCGACUAGAGUGCAGAAGGGGCAACCGGAAUUCUUGGUGUAGCGGUGAAAUGCGUAGAUAUCAAGAGGGAACACCUGAGGUGAAGACGGGGUUGCUGGGCUGACACUGACGCUGAGGCGCGAAAGCCUAGGGUAGCAAACGGG
rnacentral:rRNA from 1 species